GUGGGCUUUUCUGUGUGUUAAUGCUGGUCAAAAGUCCCUCAGCAAUGCAAAACGCAGAGAGAUGUGUGCCCAGCAAACUGGGCACUUAGGAGAUACAGCUUCUGAAUGCUGACUCUGGUUCCAGCCAGAAAAUGCACACCAAGACAUUAGAAAGCUGUGCUUGGCAGUUCCUGAGAACCAAGGAACAAUUUUGGACCACUUUGGGCUAAAUAAGACAUUCAUGAAAACAUGAUGAUGUGAUUGAUGAUAACACCAAGAAACAAGUUUACUGGAUGUGAGUCUUUAUCAUCUUUGGAGUAAAUGUGAGACUACUGUUCAGCCUAGUCUUUCUGAUCCAGGGGAAGAAGGCAAGUGGGUGUUUGAACUAAUACUGUUCUUUAAGACACAGAAAAUAUUAUUUAGAGAAGAAACACAGAUUGACUAAUAGAAAAGAAGAAAUAACCCUCUUGUUUCCUUAGUGGUACUGGACUUAAAGUUGCAGAGGGAUAUUAAUAAAGUAUUGAAAAAUAUGCCAUAUAAAUCCUCAUAAUUUUUUGAUCAGAGCUUACUUAUUUUUUUAUAGCCUAUUUAAGUCAUAAAUUAAUAAUGACAGAUUGAUAUAACCCAUCCAUGUAUACAUACAGACCUUUUUACCCAGUCAACAGAAAGGCUACAGAGAACUUGAGCAGUAUCAAGAGAGAUGGAUGCCUUCACAGAAGACAUACAGGGAACUGGCUAUCUUUGGAGCAGAUUUAGAUUUAUCCAUUGUUUCUUUUCUGAAGACCACCUGUAUGACACUACUACCAACAUUUAACAUCUUCACAAGAAAAAUUCAUUUCAGAAGUUGUGUCUUCUGCACUAAGCCAAGAUGUUUCACCUGGGUGUGAAAGUCAGUGGGUUGGAUACUGAGCUCAAGAAGCAAAUGUCACCUGAAAAGUGCAUGUCUACUGUUCCUAUCAAAAGAAUAUAUACCUGGUCUGAUCUAUUGCUUACAAUGUUCCAGGUCUUGAAAUUCAGUCUAAGGCAGACCAUCUGCUAAAUAUUAUAAAGUGAUUGCUAUAUGGACUACAUUUCAACUCUAUGGUAUCAAAAUGACAGUUUUUAUUUUGGCUAUUCUCCAAGCCUUUCCAAUAUGCCUUCCAUUUCCUUUGCCUCCUACCAGUUACAUAGGCCAUCUGUUUUCCCAGUGAAAGUUAAAGAGCCAAUAUAUGAAAAGCACAAGCUCCUUUUAAAAUAACUUUCCCACUGUUUUGUAUUCAUGUAAUUUCAUAAUGAUCAGACUCUGUUUCUUGUUGCUCUUCCUUAGUGCAGGCGAGAUUUGUUAGCUUUCGAGGGUGUUGUUGUUAAGUAAAUGUUGUUUGAGGUUUUCCCUUCAAGUGAAGCUCUCUGAGAAGACAUCAGUUGGAACAAUCUGGCGUUCUUUCAUGAAGAUUUUCUCUCUGGUUUGAAAGUGACAUAUGUGUAGGAUGAAAAUUACAUAUUUCUUCAAGAGUAUAUGUUAUUUUCGGCUAUUGUGAUCUGUACAUUCUGUUCAUGUUCUAUAAAAGAUGAAUGUAAAAGCCUUUUCUUUCUUUUUUUGAAGUUCUUGGAGAAAGUCUGCACUAUUCACUCUGAUACUACAGAAAGAAAUUCUGUCCCAGAAAUGUAUUAAAAAGUAACAUGGAACAGAUUCUGUUGUGCAAGAGAAAUAAUAGAUACAUCCCAGCUGGGUUCUCGUACUCUCUUUAUUUUCAUUUACUUUCAUCCGAUCAAUUCUUUGCAGUUCUGUCUGGUUGCUGAUAUGGUACAUCAGGGAAAUUACAGCUGAUUUCUAAAACCUAUUUCACGGAAAGCACUGAAGGAAACUAAAGACUCAGCACAGAAGUGACAGAAAGAAAUAGCUUUCCU
rnacentral:lncRNA from 1 species